rnacentral:rRNA from 1 species
UACGUAGGUGGCAAGCGUUGUCCGGAUUUAUUGGGUUUAAAGGGUGCGUAGGCGGCUUUGUAAGUCAGUGGUGAAAUAUGGCAGCUCAACUGUCAGGGUGCCAUUGAUACUGCAGAGCUUGAGUACAGAUGAGGUAGGCGUAAUUGACGGUGUAGCGGUGAAAUGCUUAGAUAUCGUCAAGAACACCUAUAGCGAAGGCAGCUUACUAGGCUGUAACUGACGCUGAGGCACGAAAGUGUGGGGAUCAAACAGG